AGCGAACGCUGGCGGCAGGCCUAACACAUGCAAGUCGAACGAACCCUUCGGGGUUAGUGGCGGACGGGUGAGUAACACGUGGGAACGUGCCUUUAGGUUCGGAAUAACUCAGGGAAACUUGUGCUAAUACCGAAUGUGCCCUUCGGGGGAAAGAUUUAUCGCCUUUAGAGCGGCCCGCGUCUGAUUAGCUAGUUGGUGAGGUAAUGGCUCACCAAGGCUACGACCAGUAGCUGGUCUGAGAGGAUGACCAGGCACAUUGGGACUGAGACACGGCCCAAACUCCUACGGGAGGCAGCAGUGGGGAAUCUUGCGCAAUGGGCGAAAGCCUGACGCAGCCAUGCCGCGUGGAUGAUGAAGGUCUUAGGAUUGUAAAAUCCUUUCACCGGUGAAGAUAAUGACUGUAGCCGGAGAAGAAGCCCCGGCUAACUUCGUGCCAGCCGCCGCGGUAAUAC
rnacentral:rRNA from 1 species